rnacentral:rRNA from 1 species
AGCGUAGGCGGUUUUUUAAGUGGGGUGUGAAAUCCCUGGGCUUAACCCAGGAAUUGCAUUCCAUACUGGGAAACUAGAGUGCAGGAGAGGAAAGUGGAAUUCCAAGUGUAGCGGUGAAAUGCGUAGAGAUUUGGAGGAACACCAGUGGCGAAGGCGACUUUCUGGACUGUAACUGACGCUGAGGCUCGAGAGCGUGGGGAGCAAACAGGAUUAGAUACCCUGGUAGUCCACGCUGUAAACGAUGAAUACUAGGUGUUGGGGGCAAAGCCCUCAGUGCCGCAGUUAACACAUUAAGUAUUCCGCCUGGGGAGUACGAUCGCAAGAUUAAA